CCGGGCGUGGCGAAAAGGCAGACGCAGGGGACUUAAAAUCCCCUUCCCGAAAGGGAGUGCGGGUUCGAGUCCCGCCGCCCGGA
rnacentral:tRNA from 1 species